rnacentral:rRNA from 1 species
CGAGUGGCGGACGGGUGAGGAAUACAUCGGAAUCUACUCUUUCGUGGGGGAUAACGUAGGGAAACUUACGCUAAUACCGCAUACGACCUACGGGUGAAAGCGGAGGACCUUCGGGCUUCGCGCGAUUGAAUGAGCCGAUGUAGGAUUAGCUAGUUGGCGGGGUAAAGGCCCACCAAGGCGACGAUCCGUAGCUGGUCUGAGAGGAUGAUCAGCCACACUGGAACUGAGACACGGUCCAG